GGUGAGAUGGCCGAGUUGGUUAUGGCGUGAGGUUAAGGUCACCUUAGCAUUCUAAUGCAUCUAGCAUCUAAUUCCUCAUGGAGCAAUCCGCGUGGGUUCAAGUCCCACUCUCAUCA